AUGCCGCCGGAACCACCUCUCCUACCAGUGCCUCCCCGGCCAGUGCUGCCCAGCGACCCCGGCGACAUGCAGCCCGUGUCGUCCUCGGCGACCCGAGACCCAACGCGGCCUCAGUUCCCCAUGCCGCCGCCCUCCUCGUCGGGAUCAAGGGCGCCACCGACGGAGCAGAUGAGCGAGUACAUCAAGAGGCCGAUAGCCUGCAUCAGGUGGUACGUGGCGCUGGAGAACGGCUACUUGGCCGAGCAGGAGAAGCUUCGGAUGGAGAUACAUUCAGGCUCUACAGGAAGUUGA
rnacentral:rRNA from 1 species